rnacentral:rRNA from 1 species
GAUGAACGCUGGCGGCGUGCCUAAUACAUGCAAGUCGAGCGAACGGACGAGAAGCUUGCUUCUCUGAUGUUAGCGGCGGACGGGUGAGUAACACGUGGAUAACCUACCUAUAAGACUGGGAUAACUUCGGGAAACCGGAGCUAAUACCGGAUAAUAUUUUGAACCGCAUGGUUCAAAAGUGAAAGACGGUCUUGCUGUCACUUAUAGAUGGAUCCGCGCUGCAUUAGCUAGUUGGUAAGGUAACGGCUUACCAAGGCAACGAUGCAUAGCCGACCUGAGAGGGUGAUAGGCCACACUGGAACUGAGACACGGACCAGACUCCUACGGGAGGGAGCAGUAGGGAAUGUUACGCAAUGGGCGAAAGCAUGACGGAGCAAGGCGGAGUGAGUGAUGAAGGUCUUCGGAGCGUAAAAAUCUGUUAUUAGGGAAGAACAUAUGUGUAAGUAACUGUGCACAUCUUGACGGUACCUAAUCAGAAAGCAACGGCUAACUACGUG